ACUGCUAUCGGAGUGGGACUAAGCCAUGCGAGUCGUACGUCCUUUGACUAUGUGAAGGGCGUGGCGAACGGCUCAGUAACACGUAGUUAAUCUACCCUGAAAACGUGGAUAACCCCGGGAAACUGGGAUUAAUAUGCGAUAGGUGAAAACUUCUGGAAUGGGUUUUCGUUGAAAAGGGUGAGCAGGCAUGUUUGCUCAUUUGUUUUAGGAUGGGACUGCGACCGAUCAGGUUGUUGGUGGGGUAAUGGCCUACCAAGCCUUCGACCGGUACGGGCUUUGAGAGAAGGAGCCCGGAGAUGGACACUGAGAUAAGGGUCCAGGUCCUACGGGGCGCAGCAGGCGCGAAAACUUCGCAAUGUGCGAAAGCGCGACGAGGCUACUCCGAGUGUCAUCCACUGAGGAAGACUUUUACGAAGUCUAAAUAGCUUUGAGAAUAAGGGGAGGGCCAAGACUGGUGUCAGCCGCCGCGGUAAUACCAGCUCCCCGAGUGGUUGGGACGAUUAUUGGGCCUAAAGCAUCCGUAGCCGGCUCUAUGAGUCUUCCAUUAAAUUCAACGGCUCAACCGUUGAGCUGUGGGAGAUACCGUAGGGCUAGGAGGCGGGAGAGGCGGACGGUACUCCAUGGGUAGGGGUAAAAUCUUCUGAACCGUGGAAGACCACCAGUGGCGAAGGCGGUCCGCCAGAACGCGCUCGACGGUGAGGGAUGAAAGCUGGGGGAGCGAACCGGAUUAGAUACCCGGGUAGUCCCAGCUGUAAACUUUGCGAGCUAGGUGGAGUGGGAGUGGGCUAUGAGCCACUCCAGUGCCGCAGGGAAGCCGUUAAGCUCGCCGCCUGGGGAGUACGGUCGCAGGACUGAAACUUAAAGGAAUUGGCGGGGGAGCACUACAAGGGGUGAAGCCUGCGGUUCAAUUGGAGUCAACGCCGGGAAUCUUACCGGGAGCGACAGCAGGAUGAAGGUCAGGCUGAAGACUUUACUAGACAAGCUGAGAGGAGGUGCAUGGCCGUCGUCAGCUCGUGCCGUGAGGCGUCCUGUUAAGUCAGGCAACGCCCGAGACCCCUAUCGUUAAUUGCUAGCACCGGCCGAAAGGGUGGUGAGGCUAGUUAGCGAGACUGCCGCUGCUAAGGCGGAGGAAGGAAGGGGCCACGGCAGGUCAGUAUGCCCCGAAACUCCCGGGCUACACGCGGGCUGCAAUGGUAGGGACAAUGGGUUCCGCCCUCGAAAGAGGAAGGCAAUCCUCAAACCCUACCUCAGUUGUGACUGAGGGCUGUAACUCGCCCUCACGAAUCUGGAAUCCCUAGUAACCGUGCGUCACCAUCGCACGGUGAAUACGUCCCUGCUCCUUGCACACACCGCCCGUCGCUUCACCCGAGUUGGGUUUGGGCGAGGUGGCGCCUACUUGACGCUAUCGAACCUGGGUUCAGCAAGGGGGGAG
rnacentral:rRNA from 1 species